AAAGUUUAGAAUGUAGCGAAGCGCGGCGGGGGAGGGGGAGGGGGCGUAUCGUAGACGUAUGCGAAUCGGAAGAAGACGACGAGGAGGAGAUUACGGCAGCAAAGCAAAGGGCGGCGCAGGCUGCAGAAAUCAGAAUUCGAGAGCGCCGCGGGUUUCCUUUCUUCUCUUGCUGGGCCCGCCUGCGCAAAUACGGAAGCGCAGGCAGGCGAGGGCAUUGGUGUGUAAAUACAGAGAAUUUGAAGGGUGCGACGUGCGGUGAGAUUCCAGAGUCAAUGGCCGAGUGGAAUGGGAAGCUGGCUGGCUGCUGUGUUUCUGUUGUGGAGUGGAGAGUGUGUGUG
rnacentral:misc_RNA from 1 species